rnacentral:rRNA from 1 species
GAUCAUGGCUCAGGAUGAACGCUGGCGGCGUGCCUAACACAUGCAAGUCGAACGGAGUCUUUUGGAAAUCUCUUCGGAGAUGGAAUUCUCGACUUAGUGGCGGACGGGUGAGUAACGCGUGAGCAAUCUNCCUUUGAGAGGGGGAUAACAGUCGGAAACGGCUGCUAAUACCGCAUAAAGCAUCAAAUUCGCAUGUUUUUGAUGCCAAAGGAGCAAUCCGCUUUUAG